ensembl:lncRNA
UAUAUUCUUUCUAUUUCUAUUAAAGGUAAUUAUUUAUAAUGUUGUUGAUUCAGAAUGAUCCUUUAAACUUUGCUUCUAUGAAGGCACACUCAAAACUUUUCUGUCGAAUGGGCCAGUGAUGGUAAUCGCUCGACACAAGCAAGUCUAACGACACCUACGUGUAAAGGCAAAAUCAUGGAUUCAUGUUCCCACAACUACAGGUGCUUCUGUGUCUUGGAACGUGCAUACAGAUUAACAGGCAGUGGAGUGCACCCCAACUUGAACAGAACCAUGCUGGGCCUGAAUGUCCCCUCCCAGCCCUUCCUGCUCCAAGAGGUGGCUGAGGUCCCCUCUUCUUUCACAGGAAGUGAUUCAGCACCUGGAGGUCUCCGCUUUGGGUCCAAGAGCACAGAGCACGGCUUCAGGGGGGUGGAUGGACAGAGGCUGCGGCGAGCGGCAGAGAGCACAGCCCAGAGACUCAGCACCUCCUUCAGACAGAAAGAGGCCAGUUAGGGGCUGGCCGGUCAGCAAGGGAGCCAUGUACAAGAGGGGCUGAGAACUCCCCAUCCUCCCGUGGGGCCUGUGAGGCUGGAAGUACCUGGCAGUCACCUGGCAAGAUUCUGUUGAGUGCAGAACGACAAACAGAACACCUCUCUUUGCAGUCAACUCUCCAAAGGUUUUGGGUUAUGUCCACAGUUGAUCACUCUAUCUUUGUGCAGUGUGAGUGCUCUCCUAUUUUUUUUUUGUUUGUUUGUUUUUUUGUCCAGUCCAAAGACUUCUAUGUAGAAAGAGAAAAAUACCUUAGAUUAGCCUUUGGAUUUUAAGAAUAUUAGUGAUUAAAAGUAGAGCUCACAUUUCUUUAGGGCUAACUGGGAACAUCUCUGUGCAAAGCCCUUUACUUUGAAACUGUCAUAACUUUUAUUUUUAAAUUACAUCAUUUAAGUAUCACACCCACAGUCUGAGCUAGGUACUACUCUUGCCAUCUCCAGUUUACUGCUGGGAAUUUGAGGGCCCAAAGAAGCUCUGUACCAGGCACCAGGCCACGCAGUACGUGGCAGAGUUGGAUUUUGAAUCCAGGAUGGUCAGACCCUGAAGGCAAUGUGUGCAACCACUGUG